UACGUAGGGUGCGAGCGUUGUCCGGAAUUAUUGGGCGUAAAGAGCUCGUAGGCGGUGUGUCACGUCGUUCGUGAAAACCUGCAGCUUAACUGUGGGCGUGCGGUCGAUACGGGCAUCACUGGAGUUCGGCAGGGGAGACUGGAAUUCCUGGUGUAGCGGUGAAAUGCGCAGAUAUCAGGAGGAACACCGGUGGCGAAGGCGGUUCUCUGGGCCUUACCUGACGCUGAGGAGCGAAAGCGUGGGGAGCGAACAGG
rnacentral:rRNA from 1 species